rnacentral:rRNA from 1 species
GAUGAACGCUAGCGGCAGGCUUAAUACAUGCAAGUCGAGGGGCAGCGCAGGGUAGCAAUACCUGGGCGGCGACCGGCAAACGGGUGCGGAACACGUACAGAACCUUCCUUCGAGCGGGGGAUAGCCCAGAGAAAUUUGGAUUAAUACCUCAUAGUAUAAUGGUGUGGCAUCACAUUAUUAUUAAAGAUUUAUCACUUGAAGAUGGCUGUGCGUAUGAUUAGGUAGUUGGCGGGGUAACGGCCCACCAAGCCUACGAUCAUUAACUGGUGUGAGAGCACGACCAGUCACACGGGCACUGAGACACGGGCCCGACUCCUACGGGAGGCAGCAGUAAGGAAUAUUGGUCAAUGGACGCAAGUCUGAACCAGCCAUGCCGCGUGGAGGAUGAAGGUCCUCUGGAUUGUAAACUUCUUUUAUCUGGGACGAAAAAAGGCUUUUCUAAGUCGUCUGACGGUACCAGAUGAAUAAGCACCGGCUAACUCCGUGCCAGCCGCCGCCGUAACAC